rnacentral:tRNA from 13 species
GAUGAAGAAGAGAAAGAGAAUAAGAAAGUUUUGAAUUCUAGGAAAAAUGUUGAAGGAGAAAAGGGUUCUCCUUCUCUUUCUCCUUCUCUUUCUCCUCUUUCUCCUUUUUAUGUUUCUCCUUCUCCU